GUGUGGGUGACCCCAAAGUACCCGCACCACUGGGGAGUCUCAUCCCAGCGUGUUUGCCGAUUUUCACCACGAUCGCACGGAUGGAGUCCCACUUCAGACAACCUUCUACGUAGACGGUGUGACUUCUAAGAGGCCUUUCACUGUGUCCGGAAAAUGCUCAAUCACCUACGCAAAAGGAAAACCAGGAUGGAAGACAAGACAGGGUGUCAGGAAAACAAAGCUACCAUGUCUACACCAAGACAACGCCUUCUGAAAACAAAAACCCACUGUUCAGAGGCGCUGCAUUGGAGCUCACCCCCAGCGUCUUUGCCUGGGGACAACUUGCUUUGUGUCAACCACCUCGGUGAUGUCAGAUGCUGAGGAGGACGCCCCUGCAAGUUGCAUCUCUUUAUGAAUCUUGCAUGACAGCGCUUCUCUUCUUAAGCACUGGUAAUCUGUUUGAUGUUAGCAGAGAUGGAUGAGGGGCCUUGGGUGUCAGCCGAGAA